UUUCCGUAGGUGAACCUGCGGAAGGAUCAUUACAGAAUUCUUGCCUCUAAGGGUACGUCUUCUGCCCCUGAUAUUUUAUGCUCUUGUUGCUUUGGCGUGACGCAUCUUGCUACGCGCUUCGGCCUGUAAGAGCCCGCCACAGACCUAUCUAAUACCUGUUUAUGUGUCGUCUGAGUACUAUUUAACAGUUAAAACUUUCAACAACGGAUCUCUUGGUUCUG
rnacentral:misc_RNA from 1 species